AACGAACGCUGGCGGCAUGCUUAAUACAUGCAAGUCGAACGAGACCUUCGGGUCUAGUGGCGCACGGGUGCGUAACGCGUGGGAAUCUGCCCUUUGCUACGGAAUAACUCAGAGAAAUUUGUGCUAAUACCGUAUAAUGUCGCAAGACCAAAGAUUUAUCGGCAAAGGAUGAGCCCGCGUAGGAUUAGCUUGUUGGUGAGGUAAAGGCUCACCAAGGCGACGAUCCUUAGCUGGUCUGAGAGGAUGAUCAGCCACACUGGGACUGAGACACGGCCCAGACUCCUACGGGAGGCAGCAGUGGGGAAUAUUGGACAAUGGGCGAAAGCCUGAUCCAGCAAUGCCGCGUGAGUGAUGAAGGCCUUAGGGUUGUAAAGCUCUUUUACCAGGGAUGAUAAUGACAGUACCUGGAGAAUAAGCUCCGGCUAACUCCGUG
rnacentral:rRNA from 1 species